GUUUGACUGGUCUUACAUGAAGCUGGAAGAAGUUGAUUCUAGAAAAGUUUCCGUUAAUAGCCAAACAAUCCUUAGUUAUGUGCAACUUGAUCUUUUUGGGCUUUUUUUUUAUCAUUAAACAGAGAAUAGUUCAAUAUAAUUUGAAUAAAAAUAUCAUGAACAGCUAACUCCAGAAUAACUAGAGAAAGCUUUCAAGAACCAUAUGACUUAAAUCCAGUGAAGUAUAUUAAUGAGUUCUCAAUAAAAUCAUUCCGUGGUAUGUUCCCUUUAAUAGCAUGAAGAACUCUUGGUUUAUAUGAUCUCUUCUUGGUAAUAUAAUUUGAAAAACAAUACUGUGAACCAAAACUCAAGAAUAACAGGGGCACAUUUUUAAUAUAAGGAGGAUGUUGUGACUGCAAUGAUGAACUAUAUAUAUUGACAACUUCACAAUGAAAUUAUUCUGUAGUUUAAUCAAAACACGAGGGACAUACUAUCAUACAAUAAAGAAAUCAUUACAAGCAUGAAAAUGAAAGAUAACUAGCCCUUUGUUGUGGCAAUUUGAAAAAGGAAGAAUGAGAGAGAUGCAAUGCCAAAGCCUCAAGCACUCCAGAUAAGAGAGAAUUCAGGUGGUCACCAACCAAUUAAUCUUUAUCCUAGACACUUCAACUGCAUCUAUAUAUCUCCACUUUUUAUCCCUUCAACAUAUCAUUUGAUAGAAUAGACUUAUACCUGCUCCCACUUACUGAUGAAUUCAGGCCCUUUUUUGCACUAACAGCCAGUGAUAUCGCAAUCAUGGUUCAUCAAGAUUAACUAAGAUGCAAUUAAUGAAAUUAUUUUUGUUGGUUUGGGCAUUUUCUUUAUUAAAAUAUGAAACAUUUCUUAAGAUACAAGUAGCAGACAGAUAAAGUUUGUAUGCAUUAUCAGAUCGGAUUUAGAUUUUAAAUAUGGUUGGUUAGAGGUUGGACCUUCUAAUUCCUUUAGACUACAUUUCCUUCCAUGACUGAACCUAGUCCUACUCCCACCACCUGCUAAAUAACAUUGGUUAUAAUGCACAUUUCCAAGGGAAUUUUUAAUCCAUUGAAGGGAUAUCAAUUAAGCCAAUAAGGGUACGUAACAGAGACAUUAACAAAUAAUGGAGCAAGAAGCAAGGAAAAAAAUAUAACACAAUAUACAAGAAACCAAAAGCAGGCCAUGGGCUUACCAACAAUAUCAGAAAAAAAUACCAUCAUCCAAUAGAGUGUCCCUUAGAGUGCCACCUACUCAAAACUUUCUACCAAAUAAUCAGCAAUCCUAAAUUUAAGGCCGGAAGAUACUAAAUCUCAGAGAAUCAUAAUAAUCCUUGUUACAACUAGCAAAAUUACAACAUUAUGAAUUCAUUAAUCCACUGAAUAACACUGCAAAAGUUAUAAUUUUUUUGAAGUCUUGAAGACACCUGGAUCAUGAAGGAAUCUUGAGUAUUAAGCUUACCCCAUCCCGAUAAAGUUGAAAUGUUCUGCACCUGAACAAGUGGGUCAGAGCCAAGUCCUGAUUGAAAAGCAUGUGAUUUUGGAAAAAGUCUUUGAUGCAUUGAAUUGCUAAUUCAGGAAAUUCAAACAUUUUGAUGGCUCAACAGGGUCAAGUCUCGAGACUUUAAGGUUGUAUAUUCCCUGUCAACCAAUGAAGGUCGAAGCUUAAAAGAUAAUACGAGAAAAACCCAUGUAAUUGGAAGAUGACAUUAUGGGUGGAAGAGUAGGGAUUCUAACAAGCAAGCUUCCACUGAGAUCUCUCCACAACUAGCUGCCGCCACUCUUCGGAGAUUCCCACACGCAACUCCAGUAUACAUCAGCAAAGUCCAUCUAAAGACCCAUUCUAAGUUUACACUCAAACAAAAAAGAAAAAAAAAUAUAAUUCACCCAAACCUGAAUUAUUGAAUUCACCCUCAACAUCAUUACCACAUUAACUGUGUAUCUUUAAUCUUAUCUAUGCUUCAAACAUAUCCCGCACUUGUUGUGAGUUCAUUACCUAAAUGAUACAUCACACGAAUGUUUUUUCCCAUAACCCAUAAAUGAAUGGUCCAAAAAGAAAGAGAAAUGAAAAAAAACCCAGAAACAGACAUCAUGGGAGGAAUUGUUUUAGGAUCCACUUUGUGAAACCAAUACAAGUAACUAGAGAAUACAAAUGCAUCCAAACGCAGAUGCAUCAGAGAAUGAAAAGACAAUCAGAACUGGCUUAUCCAAGCAAAACUUGAACAAUACCAUGUCCUAAGAGAGAUAUUAAGGGGAGAAUAACCAUAGCCAUCAAGGCUUCUCCAAUUAUUUGGAAGAUACAAAAAAUAAAAAAUAAUAAUAAUAAAGAUGAUGGAAGAUACACUAAUAAAUGUCAAAAGUAAUGCAUGGAGAUACUAGUCCUAGAUAUGAUCUUGAUAACCUCGUUGAUUGUGGCAUUGACAAUCAAUCAAUUAGCUCAGUGUAUCUACUACAAAAAGAGAUGCAACCAAAUAUCUAACCAAUCACCAGGGAAGUUCUUUGCACUAGUUCUAUAUACUCCUGUUCUUAGAAGUAUUAUCAAGAAUUUUUUUGCCAUGCAUAUCAUACAUUGACAACCAAAUGUAUAACCUGUGAAAAGAAAAUCUAUUUCCAGAGACUUGUACAUUGGUACUGGAGCUUCUGGCAUGUCUGCAUAAAAUAAUAUAUUCAUGGUGCCAAUGUUCAAUCUCCCCCCAUGUGGCCCUACUGAAGUGCCUCCCUUGCCACAAUUGUAGCGGCUAACAUCAUUUUAAUUCCCUUAUAUUAAAUUUGUCACAGGAAAAAUUAGUAACCCCUCAUCAUAGAGCUUAAGAAACAUAUACAACCCUACUGAAGAUAUCAACCUAAAAAUAGGCUGUCAAUGGACUAGGCCUGCCCUAAUGGCCUGAAGACCAGACCCAGAAAAAAAACAGGUUCGGGCUCAGGUUCUAAGGCUGGUCAAUUUUUAGGCCGGUCCUGGGCUGAAAAUUUUGGUGAAAAUUAAAUAGGGUGGUUCUGAACCCACCAGCCUGAAAACAUAUCCUGAGUAGGAACGAGAUUGGGCCUCAUACCUCCACGGCGAGCCAGGCUCAAGCCUAAGGUUUAGACCUUGGGUUUGCUUCAGACUUAGGCCCAACCCAGCCCUUUGACACCCCUACUCACAAAUCCCUCAGUUUUUGUUACAUGCAACACGUUCUCCACAAACUUAGACAUAAUAGUUUCAAAAUUGGUUUUGCCUUAAAAUAGUUUCAAAUAGGUAGCAAUGGUGCAAGAAAGGAACAAUACUUGUACUCAAUUAUUGCACACUCUUAUAUAAAUAAUUUGCUUGGAAUUGUAGAGUAAUGGUCUUCAACAACAACAAGGUGUUUGUUAUACUCUCAGGUAUAUGGCAAAAAGAUGAUUUCGUCUGAUAAUAUUAUUAGGAAAUUAGAAUAAUGUUAUGGCUAAUACCGGUAGCGGGCAUAAUUGGCCGACUUCACAAAAGCAACUACUGGUUUAGUAACAACAAUUAAGGUUCCGAACUCGAGUGUGCACACAGUUCCUAUCCAAGUUUGUGUUGUUUCCAAUUAAAUCCUUUUGUUGAGUACCAAGUGCAGCUGGAAGGGUCCAUAUAUACCAGUAGAACGAUAUCAUCUGAACAAGCUCAACAUGCAAAGAGAUGAUCUACUCUUGACACAUAAUCGAAGCAUGGAUCACAAAGAUUGAGCCAUUCCUUACACUGGCAUAGCAAACUUUGUUGGAAAUCAUGAAACUCUACCAACAUCAGCAUUGCAACACCCCUGUUCUCUCUUGUGAGCAAGGUGCAAAGAAUGGCAUAAUUUUUUUAUGAAGAUUUUGAAGGCACUAUCACAUUGGGCAGAUCUGCCAAAAAAAGUUCAUCAUUUCUCCAAAAUCCAGAGAACCAAUGAAAAUUUUGAAAAGAUUUGGCUUUAUUAAGAAGGUCAAUUAGUGACGCUAUUUUCAUGCCUCAACAAAGUCACCAGUAUAAAGAUCAAGGAACACCAAGUUUCCAAUUGCAGAAAUUAUGAAAAGAUACUGCAAGAGUAAUGAACAUUAAUGAUUUUGAGAGGUAUCGCAAACGGCCAUGUCUGUGGAGCUAUCAAAGGUCAAAAAGCUAUAUACAGAAAAAUUUGUGUUUCAAUUAUCAUCCUACACCAAUGGUCACCUUUAAAUUCUCAGACUAGUGCUUGUUGGAGUCCAUUCAAAAAAGAACACCAUGUUUCCACAAGUCCAAACACACGUUUGCUGGAAAACCAACACACAAGCAUACAGUAUCAUAUGGUACACUCAUCUUACAUAUGAUGCAUCAGACCUCAUUGGCAUGUUACAGUGGGAUCACAAAAUCAGUUCCUACAAGUAUCAGCUUAUAUUUGUUGUUAUCAUUACAUUUUGCAACAUAUCGCGAUUAUAUGGACAGCCAGAACUAAACAAACGAAACCAUCUCAAAGGCCUUAUAUUGUUGGGGGAACGAGUCCAACAUGACUCCAUUUGUUCCAAAAAGACACCUUCAUAAUCCCUUAACAUAAAAUACAAGUUCAAUAGACUCAAUCUUAAAGUACAUAAUGGUUAUAUUUCAAUUUCGUUGCUUGCAUUGUACUUUUAAUUGGAUUAUGUAACUCAUAUCAACAAUACAUAUAUUUGUUACCAUCCUUAGGUCCUAACAUGAUGGUCCUAUGACUCCUAUCUCUAGGUAAUGGUUUUGCCUCUCUAGUGUUGACUUGUUUUGUUUCAUAGAAUAUCUUAGAAGCUGUCUUUAGUGUUAGAUUGCAGAUUUGAGUCAUCACUGUCAACACUAUAUGAGUUGAAGCCAUGUCCAUCAUCAGUAGCAUGAUUAAUUUUCAUGGCUCGGGGUUUCGGUAGUUAAACAUGAGGUUUAAAAAUCUGAAACACAAAUUUUUUUAUCAAUAUAUUGCAAAUAUAGUAGCAGAUAAACAACAGAUUCACUGCCCUAGAAUAUUCUGGUGUAUCUAAAGAAUGUUCAGAAACUUAUCUUCCCAUUCGCAGUACUGGCGUCAUGCUAGUAUCAUGUUGCAUCAUUGGACUAUGCAGCUUACACAUUUGACCUUUAUAAAGCUUUAUUGUUGUUUAUCUUCUUGAUAUAGGAACAAUGCUUGCUCUCCUUGCUACUUUUGUUUCUACUAUUAUACACUUCUUAGAAAGUUUUUAUGAGAAAUUAUGCAUUUUACCAAGGACAAUUACAAACAAGAAAGCAGAUCCAGACUUCGUAAUUUCAUUUUAUUUUUCAAGAAAUGCUCUUUUUAGUAACUAAUGAGAGUUAUCGGAGCAAAAGGAUGCAUUUUAACCCACCUAAUUAGAUUUUGACGCACAUAUAGAAAUCACCAUGACUAAAUCUUAGUGAAUUUAGGUGCAGAUGUGGCAAGGAACCUCUGCAUGGUCAUGCUACAAUACCCCUAAGACCAAGAAUUGGAAAGGAUAAAAAAAGCAGCUCUGGACACAACAAGGUAAGGACCCAAGGCAUAUUUCAACUGGACAUAAACAUAUAGGUGAUAAGGAACCCCUUCAACUAAAAAUAAUCAAUAAGAAUUAUCGAAUAUUCACACAGCUGAAGUAAUUGAAUCCGCACGCAUCAAAGACAAUAAGUUGACUAACAUUUGAACUAUUGUCAAAUAGGAACAUCCUUCUGCUUGAUGUUGAACAUUCACACAAUUAACCUGAUGAUGGAAUUAAUCUGUACUUUAAAGCACAAACAGAGAAUGCUGGUACAUAAUCUUAUGAUCCAUUAGUCAAAGGAAUAACAGCUAUUUACCUGACAAAAAGACAAAGUUCCAUGAGACAAAACACCAUUAAGAUCAUUAAAGGGAGGUUACAGCACAUAUGCGUUUUUAAACAACAGAACGAGUUGCUUCCAGACUUCCUGUAUAGGAAGGAAAAUUUGAUUUCCACAAAUCUCGGACGAAAAGAUAAGUGAUCAUCUCAAGUAUCUAGUCAUCAACUGCCCAUUGCUCUAAAAAGGAAAUCAGAGUAAAUAUCUGAGGUUUCCUAUUACAAGAUGCUUCUCUAUAAUUUCAAAGGUUAAUUAUAAAUAGAACGCACCACAGUGAAAGGAACCAAGGCAGGUCCAAACUACAAAAACAUCACCAUCCAAAAAGAGGCAUGACAAAGGUGUCAGCCUACAUUUCAAGAUAUAUGAUACCACAUUCAAUUGCAAGACACGUAUCCAUUGCAAGAUAUAUCAUACAACAUUCUGAAGAUAGUCAGCCUACAUUUUUCUGGUUACUUAUGUAAAUCAACCAACCGACCGUAAUCACCAUGAUACUAGAAAGGAAGAGAGAAAAUCUUUCCAUAGAAGUUCACUACAUUGCAUUGAUUAUUAUUCAAGGCAUUUCAAAACUAAAACCUUACUCAUAAUAGAAAUUCACAAUAAAGUUGAGCAUGGAGAAAAACCCAUUUAAAACAAAAAGGGCCUAUAUGAUCAAGACAUAUUUCAAGCAACUCACUACAAAUGUAUGGCAGUCACAUCUGGUCAGAGUAAAUGCUUCUAUUCCCAGCAGCUGAAAUAUUUCAAAUAAGCUCACCGCUUGCUGUCAGACAGUCUGCUUUCGUCCAAGUGCAGACAAAAAGUUGAAAGCCCGCCAAGAAAUUUGCGUGACACUAAAAAUUACCCCAAAAAUUGCACGUCCCUUUGCAAUCCCCUCCCGCAGGUUCCUUGCUGUUCUAGCUACAACUGGUCCCUCAGUCUCAUCCUUCCAUGUGGUUUUUCCCUGCACCGGCACUAAUCAAUUGAAGAUGGGGUAAAACACAUCAUCGAGUCCUAAUCAUUGCUGCUAACAUCACACAAUAACAUCAAAAGUAGUAAACUAACCAAUUGGAGCCAUAGUAGUGAGACGCCGCAAUCUAUCUUCAGCUAUCCGAACUGCUCGGGUAGAGCUUCUGACACCCUGUGUUAUCUCCUGACUACAUAACCAAAUCAAUUGGGCUAUGAGAUAACUAAGCUAGAUGGAUGAAUAACUAUAAAAAUGCUGACAAAAAUACCAGAAAUGUAUCUUAAACAUCCAAAUGAAAGUGGGUAUCUAUUGUUCUAGUAUUAAUAUCCUGCCAAUAUCCAGAUAAUUGAAAGCAUCCAAUGGAACCUUUGGGUGAACAAACAGCCUACUCUAUGCGACAAUCUGAUAUAUAUGCAACGAUAGAUAAAAAUCACUCAUUUAAGUAUCCAUAUAUUCUGUAAUUAACCAAAAGGAAACAGAGAGAGAGAGAAAAAAAAAAAUUAAGGACUGACCCCAGGUCACUGAGCUCCAUGGUUAAAUCACUGAUUUCCAUGCCAGAGAGUCUAACAGCAGCCAUGGUAUCCGGGAGCUCUUCUGCCGUGACGUCCAACAGCUUCUCGAGUGACUCCGCAGCCCUCUUGAAAGCCUACACAUUUCAGCAUCCCAAUUCGCAGAAAGUAAUUCUUGUAAAUCACCAAAUACAAUAAAAAUGAGACCUUCGGUAAAACCAAACCCCAAAUCAUCAAAGAAAACACUGACCAAAAGGGCUGGGAUCGCAGAAAAGAAAAGCCAUAACGCCGAAAGUGCAGCCUGAGAAGAUUUCACAGCUAUAAAUCCAUAAAAUUCGAGAAAGGUGGAGAAAACUGUAACUUUUGAGGUUAUAUAGUUCGAGUCGUAAGAUUUCCCGACGAUUUCUUUUCUUUGAAAAAAAAAGAAAAGAAAAGAAAAGCAACUUUUGAUGAACCAAGAGAUGAUCAUACCACGCAAGCAGCGCAGUUCAGCACAAAGAUGUGCCGGUGGUCGAGAUUCCACCGGGUAAGCGAAAUGGAGGGCGGCGAUGCGACGGAGGCGGUGAGGGAAGCGGAAUCGGGGGAGGCGGAGGCAUCGAGCGCGAGAGAGGAGAAGGGGAGAUGGGGUUCGAUGGGGCUUUUCCCUGCGGCCGCCACGGCGAAUCUUCUUUGAAUGCUAUGCGAGCUGACAUUAUUUAGAGGGAUCGAGAAAUAAGAAGCCGAGGCAGAGGCGGCGCCGGUAGUGGAGGAAGCGGACGCGGCGGAGGGAAGAGAGCGGAGAAAUUUGACGGCGAAGGGAGGAGGAAGGAGAGACAUGGUGGACGGGCGGGCUCCGCCGGAUGUUAUCGCCGGUGAGAACAACGCGGAAAUAGAGAAGAACUAGCCUUUUGGGCUUGAUGCGGAUGCCUGUGGGAAAAUUUAGAUGACGCCCUUGCCGUUACCUGGUUUAUCUAAAAUGCCCCUCUAAGUGAUAGUAAACGAUGUAACCGAGGCAGUGUAAAAUUCUCAAAACUGGCAACACCUGUGCAUAAUGUAGGUUAGAUGGGUAUUACUGCUCUCAAAAAAACAAAAAUGGAGAUUAGAUGAGUAUCCCAUGGCCAAUGAUAAUUGGCAGUUAUUUGUCGCUUCUUCAUUUAAAUUGGAACAUUUGUAUGAAAGAGCUAAAUUAGGGCACCUAUAUGCGACUUUGAUUCUAUGAAUGAUCUUCUUGCAGGGAUUUGUAUUUGGUUUUAGGCAUGUUUCGCAAGCUUUUUCUUUCCAUUUAAGGUUAAUCUGGUAAGAACAUUUACUUUAUAUGCUUAAUAUUUAAUAAUAACUUUUGCAAAAGCCUGCUUUUAUAAAUAAUUGGAAAUAACAAUAAAAUAGAUUUUAAAAAAAGAAAGAAAAUGUUCCGGGCUUACAAAAAGUUGCUAUGGUUUUUUUUAAUGCCUUUUUAUUAUAGUACUCUUAAAUCUAAACCAUUUACUUGGGUAGGCUUAGAAUUGUCAUCUCCUCUAUUAAUCAAUUCAUCCGAUUUUACGAGGGCUUCUUAUCCUUUAUUCCAUGGCCUCAUUGUUCACUCUAACGCCUCCAAGAACUUAACCACAAGAAGAGAAAUCAUAAGCUUCAUCUAGUCUAUCAUCUUGUCGAGAUGGAUGAUGAGUCUCUUUUUGACCUCGUCCAUUCCUAUAUCUCUCCAUUGAAGCUCAAAUCCGCAGCCCACCUCUCUCAACCUCCAUCUGAUAGCCUCCGAUCCCAUGGCCCUCUAGCUUCAACCUAGAGGGCGCUUCGGCCAUGGUCGCUGCGUUUUUUCGGUCAAGCAUCGACAAGUAGAGCAAAUCAAGAGAGGAAUAUUAAUAGCUAGUCAACAUCAUGGAAAAGCAACAGUGCUAUAUUGGCCAUCCAUCGAUAGAUGAAACAAAUCGAGAGGAAAUGACCAAGGGCCGGCUGACAUCGUAGGAGAGCGAUAGCCCCUUUCCGGUUAUCCAUCGAAAAGUGGAGCGGAUCAAUGAGGAAGAUGAAGAGCCGGACGAGUGACUGAUAGAGAUGGAUAAAUCAACCGAUGAACCAAUUAUGAUCUUUGAAUGUUGUCCAAAAAUUACUAAACUUACCAUGUAAAGGGUAUCAAUUAUACCCUUGCAUUUUGCUUAAAUUAAGGUACUUGCUGCCCAUACUUUGGCUUUCCAUCAGUUAUAAAUUGGUUGCCAUAAGAGAAAUCAGGAAAAUUUGUUCUAAUAGUAGGCAAAAAUUUUAAAGUUAUGCUAUAAAGAUUUUAGGAAGCACCAUAGCAAAUCCUUAAAAAGUUUCUUACAUUCAUUAAAGGAAGCGUAACAACUCACCAUUCAACUACUUCAUGUGUAUCUCGUUAAUUGCCAAAUUUGUACGAAUCCCGAUAAGGACAAGAAAAUAUUUCAAAUGCAAAUAAUGAGAAUUGCAGAGCAUUACUCUUUAGCACGAGCCAGAGAGAGGGAGUGAGAUAUUAAUAAAACUUUGUCCUUCAUGGAGUAGGAAAGGGUUGUUUUAGAUUUCAUUCCAAUUUGCUUUGGGUUUUGGAUUCGCUACCUAGUCCGGUUCAAGUUUAGACCUCGGUAGGAGGUCUCGACGUUAGAUAUACAGGUCAUGUUGGCCCAAACACAUACAUAAUAGAUUUAGUCGAAGAUUGAAUAGUAGCCCAUAUUUGCUUGCUCACGUACAAAAUAAAUACAAACAUUAUAUUUAACAACUAAUUUUUAUAUCGUUUGCAAUAAUAUAGUAGAAUUUGGUUGCCUCCAUAAGCCUAAGCUAGAAGCCCACUCUCUUAAUUUUUCCUGUAAGUCACCAUUCCCUAUCUUUUAUUAAACGUCCAGCUCGUAUUGGAUUUUUCUGUUUAUAAUAUAAAUUGGUAAUUGGCAAUUCAACUUUUGGUUGGUGCAUUUUUGCAGGAAGAAAAAGUUUGCAUCAUUUGAUUAGAGAUGUUCUUGCAGUGCUUGCAUUCACCAAGGAACUUAAAUAUUUCAUUCCAAAAUCUAGAUGCAAUUGUCGCCAAAUUUAAAUAGUUUCAGUGAUUUUUGUGAUGUGUUGCUUCAAAUUUUUAUCAAAUAUCAGUCUCCAAAGGUAUAAGUUCCAAAAUCAUGACAACAGUCCCAUUGAGGGUGGAAUUGAGCUUCAUAAAUUAUAAGCUCAUGUAUCAUGAACCGCCGUGAAACAAACAUUUUAUAGGCAACACCACAGACAACAAGAUCAAGAUCGAGGUUAUCUCAAUCAUCGAUCAAACAACAAAAUAGUGACAACAUAUAUCAGCAGCAUGCUCAUUAAGUUUAAACACAACUUUAGCAUGAUCAUAAAAUGCCAUAUACCUAUUAUCAUUAAGUUAACUCACCCAAGCUGGUUAAAAUCCAUAUACCUAACCAAUAAAAUAAGGCUUGUUCCUAUUAUAUAUGUAUGAAAUUUCUGAAUGAACAUGUACGCCAAAUAAUUACUUGAUGUAGAGUAUCAUGAUUCAUAUCAAGCCAGCACUAUUACUAGAUGAAAUGCAUAUGAGGUAUCAUUAAAGCCUUAGCAGUCCCCUUGUUUUGAGAUAGCAGCAGGAUACUUAUUCUCGCUUCUGUGGCCUUUUCAUGACAAUAUAGUAUUAAUGACCGUCUAAAUUCAAUCAUAGAUAACCUUAGGGUAUAGUAGCCUCCAUCAUCCAUAGGAAUUACUUGUUCAAUUAGUCCUCAUAUUUUAUUUUCAAAUAUUGCCAUCUGCCAUUUCUCACUUGUAAGUAUAUUCUAAUAAAUAAACAGGUAGAAAGAUAAAUAGAUUGAUAUAUAUCCUCUUAAACCUUAGGAUUAUUCUAAAAAUUUGAACAAAUUGGAAAACAUUAAAAAAAAAUGAUGAUUCUUAUACACAUAUUAACUACGGAGAGAAGUUCAGAUGGGGAUAUGAUUGCAUAGUUGUUACACAAUCAAGUCAUGCCAAAAUCAUAACUUCAACAUAAUGUGUCCCUUGGGCACAUAUGAAUUUAUCUACCGACUAAUCCUAAGUGAGCUAACCGGCUUUGAAGUAGGUGUGCUUUAUGUAAUCUUGAAACCAAAAUAAUCGAAAAGUAGCUACAGUCAAUCAACAAUAUUCAAGUCCACUUUCAAGGAGCACAGAUUAAUGAAUACAAACCAUCAUUUGCACCCUGUAUUUUGCUUCAAUUAAGAUUUUCUCAUAUUAUCCACAUCUUAUUUGGUGUAAUGCUUAUUGGUUGCAUUUUCUGUUUUACAUUCUUUGAUCUUUAAGCUCGAUCUCUUAAGAGACUAUGACUGGUGCUCAAGAAUCUAUAAGAAUUACUACAUAAAAUAAAGGAGAUAAAAGAUUUCAUCUAAAAAUUGAAAGGAUAGAAAGGAACACACAGGAAUAUACUUGCAGAACACAAGGUGGAGGUGCAGUGUGGUUGAGGACAUUAUUAGAACAUUGUAAUCAUCAAUAUUUUCUUCUGAAGUUCCUGAGAUCCAUAACUCCUAUAGACUCCAGUGUUUGCUAUUAAUUAUUACAGCUUAAAUGCACAUGAUGAACCAUGAUAUUUUGUGAAUGAGUCCUAGCUACUACAUGAUCAAUGGAUAGACAUAUGAACUACCUUGUACUUAAUGUUUAUCUUAAUUUCUCUUUAGGUACGUAUCUACUAAUAUGAUACAGAGCAGUUAGUGCCAAACAAAUAUAUAAUGCCAGAUAAUUGCCUGAAAACACAACCAUCAAUACUUUCUCCAUUACAUAAGUCACAUCUAUUGUUGUUGUUGAGGAUGGCAGUAUUUCCUCUUAGAAACACUAAAAACACAAAACCAGACAAAACGAGAAGAAGCUCUCUUUUUUUUUUAUUUUUUUCUUUUUUGUGGAAUGAUGAGAAGAGGUUAUCACAAUAGUAAAAACACUUUAAGUAAGGGCAUGAAAUGACAUGUUAAAGAGGACAUAACCUAAAACCUAUCCAUGUCUAAAACCAUUGAACUACCUAAAAGCUGGUGUUUCCCUUUUGUCCAAACCACCCCCAACCCCACACCGGCCGGACACUGGGAUAUCAAGUUAGAAUACAGAACAUAGAGUAGCGACAAAUCCCAUGCCUUCAUGGUGGUGAGCAAAUUAUUGCAUGUUUCUAAGCCUCCUAUGGAUACAUAUGAUUGCUUCCCAUUCUGGUGAUUCAAGUCCAGGUUUCUAUUCGAGCAGUUAACACUUCAAUUUUUUUCUUUCUUCUGGUGUAAAAAAUUCCAAUAUUAAGUUACUUGGCAUUUUAGUUUCUAUUUUUCUCUUGGAAGAAACUCCGAAGUUCUUCUGGUUUUUGACUAGUCACUUAGUGUUGAACCUUCAUGCUGAUAAUUGGCAAUGCCUAUGACUACAGAAUGAUGCAGUUGCAGUAAAUUGGAGAGUACCAGAUCAUACUAGGAAGAACUUUUUUUUUUUUUGAUUGGGAACAUGAGAUCAAAUUUGUAGUGAUCUUUUUUUCUUUUUAAGAAAAAUGUGAUGAUCAUUGGAUGUGAUUUGAGGAAUAGAUGCUUAUGAGAUCAGAAGGCCUAAUUAAGUACCAUGAUUGAGAAGUUAAAGUACACAAAUAAUAACUAACACUCAAUUCAUUAUGUCUUUCAUACCAAGUUGAAAGUGUGCUUAUUUUCAGAACUAGGAUAUAUUACAAACUAGAUGUAUUUUGAUAUUUAAAGAUCCACACACUACGCUAACUCAUGAGUGGUCAAUGAUGAUACUACCAGGACAUCACAACAUUGACCUUGCCCCAAAAAUCUAACCAUUUAUAUGCUGGACACUAAUCGUCCUAAUAUCACGCAUCUCCCAUUUCUCAUCCUUCUUAAGAAUAAAAGCUACAUCCGUCCCUUCAAUGAAAGAAAGAGCACAUAGUUUUUUUUUCUAAUAAAGAAGAGAAGAGGAAGAAAGAGCACUCGAGUGGCGAAAGCUUUGUAAGAUGGCUGCGAUGGUCAUGGAAUCAUCAUCCUCAGUGGAACCUGACUCGAAAUAGCAAUCAUCCCUCUCCUCAGGCAAAGGUGAUGGAGGUGGGGGCGGCGGGGGAGGAGGAGGUGAGGGAGGAGCGAAGAAAGGAUAGUAGAAGUUGGUACGAGCUCGAGCUAGCCCACUGAAGGCUAUGGAGGAGAGGUCAUAGGCGAGCGCAGCCUCUUCUGCAGUGUCGAAUGUUCCGAGCCAGUGCCUCUCCUUGGUGUAAGGGUUCCGGAUCUCAGCGGCGUAGCGCCCCCAUGGCCUACGGCGGACCCCAAGGUACUCGGUGGAUGCUCGAGAACGCCGUCUGCGGUUGCGGUGAAGGAUCACUUGAGGGAGGUCUGCCAUGUCCAGUGGCUGUGAAGGAACUUAAAGUUGAUCACCAGGGAAUUAGAGUUGAAGGAUGGUGGAAGGUAGGGUUUCUCUCUAACUAAUAUAUAUAUAUAUAUAUAUGUAGGUGGAAGACUGGAAGAGGAAUUGGUUGGUAUUAUAAAAUCUGGCAUCCGAGUACUUUAGAGUAAAUUUCAUCAGAAGAAUGGGUAUUUGUAGCAUUUCCAAAGGUUAUAGGCUUUUCAUGAAGUGUUAGAUGUGGCUACUUUAGGUGGUUCGAGGUGUUUCUUAGUGAAAAUGUUGGAAUUAUGGUCUUGGCCCUUGGGUGGCACAGGUGGAUAGUGAUCUAGAAAGGUUGCAAGUUUUUUUUUUUCCUUCUUCUUCCUUCUUUGAAAAAGGCUGAGUUGGGCAGGUGAGGGUAUAGCCCACCAUGGGAUUAAGAAAUGGUGGUGGUGUUCGAAUUUGCUCCUCAAAUGGUUGGUCAUGGGUUAUCUUUUUCCCUUGUUUUCCUCGACAUGAUUAGACUGUGAUGGGCAUUUUCCGCAAAUCCCUGCUUACCAUGAAUCCAUGACACCUUGGGACUUGCCACCCCAUUCUCUCUCUCCCCCUCCCCCGAACACCAAAUGAUGACACACGUGUGCAGACUGAUACGAAUUAAGUAAGUGCACUUGAAUACGCUCGGCAUAAUGUACAUAUAGAGUUCAUGCAUGUGUGCAUGCAUGCCCAUGAAUAAGUACACUUAAUUAUAACUAAUUCCAUAUAUCUCUUUUCCCAAAAAGAUCAUAUAUAUUGCAUAAUUGGCAUGCAUCUCCUGUUGAAUAGGAGAGAAUUUCAUGGAAACCAAGGCAGCAUCAUCAAAUUAUUUCCUUUGAGAGAAUCCAUGCGCAUCGGUGACACAUCUUGAUUCCAGUUGACAUACAAAGUAACAAUUGUAGUUGGUUUAUCCUUUGGGAAAGGGAUCAUAUGCGCCCAUUUUAAUGUUUUUCCAGCAUUAAUUAGUAUAUUAAUUGAUAUUUCUCUACGCAUCUGAUGUUUAUUCGAAGUACGUAAACAUAACAAUCUUGUAUUUUUUUAUUAACCAUGUAUCAAAAUACUUUACAAUCUUAGCUAUCAUCCAUUAGGUACUCAAACAUGCAUCUCGUGUGUUAGAUUCUUUUUCAGACAAUGACCUCCUAAUUAUUAUUCGCUAGUUAGAAAAUGUUAUGCGAUAACGACGGCAGAUGAGAUAACACGCAUAAAGAAAGAAAAAGUUGGGGGUAUCAUUUCUUUGAAUGUUGUCAUUAAGUUUCGAAAACAUGGCAUGGUCUUCGUGAUUCUUAGUGAUUCACACCCUGAAUCACUCCCUGUAUAAAUGAUUUACUGUAACUAUAGCUUGCUCUUUUUUUUUAUGUUAAAAACAAUAAUUGAUCAAAGAAAUCUGAACUGUUUCAUAUGACCUCCUUGAGACCUUGUUGCAAGACAGUACUUCAGACAUAUUGCAAGACUCACAUUUUCCUGGAUUUGCUUAUACUCAGCAGCAAGCUAGCGCUAAUAUUCUUCGAUCAUGCAGUGAACUAUUGUGCUGCCCAACAGAUAUGGGUCGAGGGCAAUUCCUCCACAGUAACAGUUAACAAGUUGAAGCUUUCCUCUCCAUUGCAGGACAUUCGUGCAUGGAAGACAAGGGUGUCAGCCUUCAAGGCGACGAACAUAUGCUGUGAAGGAAAUCAAGUUGCUGAUUGGAUGGCCAUUUCAUCAUGAGAGCAGGCGAUCCUAUCCACCCUUUGCCCUAAGUUCUUCUAAAUGCAGAUGACGACUAUGGAAUCUAUAGUUGUAAUCCAGCUUUGCUCCGCUGAUGUACCGAAGAAAAUAUUCCUUGAUCCAUGGCAGGUGGCACCCAUACGAAAUACACAAGUUAGUAGCUUUACUGUCCAAACCAUAUAGGGGACUUGAACUCUCUAGUGAGAUUACAUGCAUGGGCCACCCAAUGGUCCACUACAUAUGCUUCAAAGUUCCAAAAAAAAGAGAGAAGACAUGCAUCAACUCCCAUGCGUUAUAGUUAAUGGAGCCUUUUUCUUAGUGAGAGCCCUAAGUCCAGCAAGUCCCAUGUCCCUCCUGUUUGAAACCUACUGGCUGUCAGAGUAUGGGGAAACUAUCUGCCAGAGUGGUGAUCCCAACGCUUGUUGUGUUGUUAGAGUUAUAGGGGGCCACCAACAACCACUAGAAUUUAGAACUCCUUUUGAGAAGUGGGGGGCACCCUUCCCUUUACCUGAGGAAGGAUGUUGUGAAGCUGGCCAAAGAGGUUUAUUUGCUGAGUUAAGCUCCGAUAAGAGCGCAUUACAAAGAAGACCACUCCAACGCAUAAGUUGUACUGAUAAAUGCUUUCAGGAUUAAUAUAUAGUCACCUUUACAAGGCCAUGGCAGCCCACUCUAAUUGCAUUUGGGAAAGGUAUCACUCACUAGGUUUUGUCGACACCUUAUCUUUUGUUCCUCUUGGGAUUUUUCUAGCAAAACUGUCAUUUUGUGCUGUCCGUUCCGACUUUGGGCAGUGGUUCUAGAGCCAUCAUUUUAAGAAUAUGAUCAAGAGAUGCACACGUUCAUCUCCAUUUGGCCAUCUGAUUGUGGCUAUGGAGAAUUGCUACCGAUAACUUUGAUAGUGCAGUCGUGCCCGGGUAUCAUUAAUUGGCUGGAUCGAUUAAUAUCGCCAAAGAUUAAAUCAAAUAGAGGUCAAUCCAUAAUGGGAUAUUAAGUUUUAGUGUAAUUGUCUGACAAAAGCCACAGCAUUAUUAUGACCGCUUUGUUCUUCUUAUUAGAUGAUGAUGAUAUCCGUUAUGAAAUCAUGCAUGAAGUGUGAAUAAUGAUUUUUGUUAUCUCGCAUCAAUUCUAUAGCUGUCAAGGUUUCAUAUAUCAGUAAAACACACGUCUAAUAAAAACCUGGCUUAUGCCUGAAUAAUCAUUGUUCUACCUAUCACAGCUAUUUUAGAUUGCAUUUAGAUUGGAAGAAGAUGGUAGAAAGAAACCAGGAUGAUUUUUUUCUUCUUUUUUUUGUUUUGAUAUGGUGCAUUAACGCACUCUGAUGUCUAGGAAAACCUUAGCUGAAAUCAGAUUGAAGCAGCAUGAGCUUGGAUAUAUGUGAAUCUUAGUUAGAAGUCGAGGUCACUGAAAGUGCUUUUUUCAACCAAAAAAAAAGUGAUUCCAGUAACCAUGAAUUCUUACUAGAAGUGCCUUUCAAUCCAAGUAAAUCAUGGAGAAGAUGGUUAUCGAUAUAAUUCUACCAAAUUAUGUCGAAGAGCUGCAAGGGUUUAUCAUCAGAACAAAAUUAAUUUAUUGUGAGGUUAGAUCUCAGUGCAAGAAAAAUAAUUGGUGAGGAUCAGGAGAGUCUCUCUCUCUCUUUAGCCUUUUCUCCUUCACAUAUCUGCAACUCCCCUCUUUCUCCCUUCCUCAAUAGCUUUCCCUCACCUCUCAGCAAUGCUGCUCUCUCUCCGGCCCCUUCCUCUUCUCUCUAUCCCAUGCACAAUCUCCUCCUCUCCACCCCCAGCCCCCUACAACAAGCUCUACCUUCCUUCGCAUGAAUCCACCAUUGGAUCAUAUACCAUACGAAUCUUAAAGUGCUCCAAACUCUAAUGUUCUUCUGUCUGCACUAAUCUCAAAGUGGCUGACGGAUGUAUCUUCGUUUUACUUUUAUUUAUACUUUAUUGUUGGAUCUUUAUUUAUUUUUAUGUUCAUUGUUUUUUGUUUUUCAACUCUAGGCUAUUUUUUAUAAAUUUUAUUUUAAGUUUUAAUUUUAUUAUUUAUUUUUUUAUAUUUUCUUGGUUCUUUUUUAUAUUAUUUACUAAUUGAUCCAUUUUUAUUCUCUUGUCAUGUAUAUUGAUAUUUCUUUCUUUUCUUAUAAAAUUUUAUUCUAAUUUAUUUUGUCAAUCAUACUUCUAUAUUUUCUUUCAUAUUUCCAAGUUAUCAUUUAUCCUCUAAGUAUAUCAAUUUUUCAUUUUUUUGAUUAUUAUAUCAAUUACUUGAUAUUUUUAAUUUAUGUUAUUGUAUUUCUAUUUAGCAUGAUUUUAUGUUUUUGAUUCAUUUAUGUUAUUCUUAAUUUUUGUUUUAUAUUCAUUUUUUAGUUCCACAUCUGAUUCUAUACUUUAUUUUCUAGUAUUUUGUUUAGUUUAUUUUUGUAAUUUCUGAAUUGUUUUAUUUUUUACUUUUCCUAUAUAGGUUUGUAUUCUUAUAAUUUUUAUUUUAAGUUUCUUUUAUAUUACUAUUUUCUUUUUUGGUUCAACUCAUUUUGUCAUACUUAUUUUGUUUACAUUCUUUGGUAUAUUUUGCAUGCGAUCCAUUUCUCCUCUUGUUUUAUAUUUUAUAUUUUAUGUUAUAUAUUUUAUUUUUGUUCUAGUUUAUUUUCUUUAACCUUGUAUCCAUAUUUGAUUUCAUAUUUUUAUUAUUUUUUUGUUAUUAAUACAUUUAUUUCAACUAAAAAUGAACUAUAAUUUAUAUAUUUUUAAUUAUCAUAUAUUUUUAUUGAAAGAACAUUGCACACGUCUAUUUGGUAGUUUGUCUGCAGCCUUUUAAAAUCCAUGCCUCAUGCCUAUGAUAGAAAAGAUUUAUUUUUCACAUUCUUGCAUAAAUCCAUCAAUUAUAUACUAUCUCUCUUUCUCUUUCUUCCCACCCAUAUUUAUGGAUUGAUCUAAUGUUUUUUUCUUCAUUCGACAUCACAUUCCUUUGAAACAUCUGCUGCACAUGUCAAAUGCUAAUUUAGCAUAAAUUUUAAUAUUAGAUGCUAGCACAACAUAGCUAUUAUUUAGUAUGAUUGCCUGUUAAAAGCUUGGCAUUCUAUUAACCUUAACAAUUGAUGCACUAUCUAUGGAUUUUUAUAAAAGAUUAAAUUAAUCUCAGUAGCCUAAAGCAUGGUACAAUCUAAACUCAAAAAACAAUGGAUUCUUAAUGCACCUAGAAUCCCAAGAUUCAUAGGCUGGUUUAAGUAAACAAAGGCAAUUGACCGUGAUUCUAGCUAUUUAAGGUUGAGUUCGUUAAUCAUUUUACAUAUUGUUUUUUAACAUCUAUUCACAUGCAUACCUUCGACAAGAAUAUGUGCUUGUGAAAGUUGUUUUUUCAUUUAGAAUAUUAGGUGGCAUGUCAUCAAUUUGCACAAGAAUAAAAUUGCAUAUGCUUGUACCAUAUUUGCCAUUCUCUAGUUUUUAGUUGUCAUUUUUGCAACUUGUACAUGUAAUUUGUUGACUUAGUUAAAACAUCUGUUUAUAAUUUACUAAAUAUCUAUCUUAACAUUGUCAUCUUGUAGCACUUGUCUUAUGUGUAUAUUGAUUCAAAUUUCAAGAGUUACUGUAAUGACAUCAAUGCUCAAUCUGUGAACCCAUCUAUUGGACCUUAUCAUGUUUAGCCAUGAUCUAUCCUCUCAUAAUGAGCAAGAUAUCCAUAGAAUAUGGAUAUUUACCCCUAUAAAUUAUCUAUGCUAACCAAGUGUCCUCUAUUGAUCAACAUGAUUAUCACUCAGGAAAUUGAGUCGGUUCCAUGACUUUCCUUAGAUUUGUAGCAUUCGAAAAAAAACAAAAUAUUUGGCUCAAUAAAGUUUAAUUCUCAAUACGCCAUUGUAAAGUUCUUAUAAAAAAAUAUGCUUAUGAGAUAUUUUAGAAGACACAAAUAUGAAACAUCAUUGAUAAAUGAUAGCAUAAAAAGUUCUUACCAACUAUCUCAUUAAAAAGUUUAUAGCUUUGCAUUUUCAUGUGACCCAUACUUUGUUGCCAAUUGUUAGCUCAAUUGGUUGCACCUCUCAGUUAAGAACUCGUCUCUCCAGGAGGUCAAGGUUCAAAACUAUAGCAUUAUUCAUAUAUAGUCACACUACUUGUAAACAUGAUCUAGUUUUUAGAUUUUUCUCUGAAAAAUAGUAAUUAAAAAUUAUCCCCGAAUUAUUAUUUUCUUAGCAAAAGCAGAAUUUAUUGAAAAUAUGUUGUGUAUUGCAUUUUAAAAGGGGUAUAAGUGAAAUAUUAGAUUCAAUACACAUGAUAUAUAAGGAUUCUAAGUAAAGAGGCAAUGUAGUGGACCAUAGCAUUAUAAAAACACACAAAUUUAAUAGUCAAGAUUAGAUAAGGUUAUCACAUCCGACAUAAUAGUGGCAAUAAAAUCUUCUUUUCACAUGUUUGGCUACUAGCACCCCAGUUUCAUCUGUUCCAACUUCCUCGUCUAGAUACCUAAAUAAUCUACAAUUGUGCAUUUAUAAGUUAUAACCGAGCUAAAUGUAUUUCUUUUAAAAAAACUGAGUUUAAUGUACCCAAGCAUGUAUUUAAGGCAACAGCCAUCUAUGCAACCAAGAUUUGAUUUAUGCAGGAUAUCCAUUAUAAUGGCCCUGCACCUUAGCUUAUAUUAGGACCAUUUACAAAAAAACCGGACCGAUUCGGCCGGUCCAUUCUGUUCAACUUGAUCCCGGUCCGCAGAACCUUCAAGAUCCAUUGAGGUUUCCCACCUACAUUUAUCGGCGUGCCGACCCACUGCUUCAAAUUUCCUAAAAGAGCCACGUGGCUGGUCGCCCUCGAAGCCCUUCCCAUCCCCCCCAGCAGAUCAGACGACCAAAAUCACAUCACAAAAUAUCGGACGGCUGGGCUUUCAAUCAAUCCGAUCCCUAAACCCUCCCUCACGCCCGUUUGUCCUAUCAAUUGGACAUCAUAAAUUGGCUCUCCAUUCUCUCUCCUCUUCAAAUUUGGAUUGCGACCGCGUUCUCUCUACGCACAGAUCUCUCUCUCUCUCUCUCUCUCUCUAUAUAUAUAUAUAUAUUAUACUCUCUCUCUCUGUCUCUCGAUCCUUCGCUUGCUUCUCUGCACCCCUAAACCCAAUCUAAGUCCUGAUUCUUUUGUUCGGCGAUGAGGAGGAAGAGGAAGGCGGCGGCGGCUAAGGCUGAGACGGCUGCGGUGGAGGCGAAGAGGGAAGAAGAGGGCGGCAGCGGCGGCGGCGGCAGCAAGUCGUCGAACGAGCUCCCCAAGGAGUCCAAGGCCUCCACCAGAGGGAAGCGGAUCAAGGCCCCCAAGACGGAGCCUGAGUUCUUCCCCGAGAAGAGGAAUCUGGUGAGGGUCCUUCUUGAGGCCUAUUUUUUCUGUCGUCUGUUUCUUGUUUUCGUGCGACUUUGGGGAAUUUGUUGGGUUCUUAAGGGGGCGAUCGUUGGAAAUUUGUUGGAUUUGGUGUUGAUUGGCUCUGUGGUGUGGAUUAUUUGGGAUUCGUUCAUGUGGAUGCGGGCGUUAUUCUGUUGGAUUUUGUUCAAAUUGCAUUUCUAUUGUGGGAUGUAUGUGUUGACAACUGCAUCAUUGCUGAGGCCACACACUUUAUUUCAAUAUCUACUUCUCGGAUUCUUCUACUUUGACGCUAAAUUUCUUAUUUUUGUCUUAUGACCUAAAUUUCUCUCUAGAUGGUGUUAUUUCAUGUAUUUUUCGCAAAUUGUUUCAGCAUUUUAUGCUUGCUUUUGUUGGGCUUUCUUGGGCUAAAUAGUUGCUAUUGUUGUGCAGGAGGAUUUAUGGCAAGCUGCCUUUCCUGUUGGAACGGAGGUCUGUUUCAAAAUCAAACUUUUAUUAUAUAUCAUAAGACAACUUAUGGAAGCUGCUGUGUAAAUAGGCGCCAAGUACCAUGCUUGAUAAUAUUUGUUCUCUUUUGUUACCCUGAGUUGUUGUGAACCUUGGUACGUUUGUUGAUGACAGUGGGAAAACAUGGACAAAAUUCGCGAGAUCAACUGGAAUUUUUCAAAUUUGGAGGUAUGAUUAAAGGAUUUCCUUUUUUUAGUUUUGAUUUUUUUUUUCUGUUCACUGUUCUUAAUUCUAUUUUGUGAUGAACAGAAAGCUUUUGAGGAGGGAGGAGAACUUUGUGGAAAGAAGGUCUACCUGUUCGGAUGCACUGAACGUAAGCUGUUUGUCUAGCUUGUGUCCUGUACAUUCACCUUAUUCAACUUCAUGCUUCUUAAAAUUACUAGUGACUGGAUGCUACAUUGUUAUCAAUAUGUAACCAUAGACUUUGAAUUUAUGUUAGUUGCAUAAUAUAAUCUUCAACCAUGACUGUGUGUAAACUUACCCUCUUCAUUUUUCAUGUGGUCUUGGAACUGCGCUCUGCAUUUAACUUGUGGUCUUGGAAUCUGUGCUCUGCAUUUAAUUUGUGCUUAUGAGCAUGAAGAUUUUGAGCUUGCAUUUGUAUGCAAAAACUCCUCUGUUGUGCUUCCUUCCCUUUUUCCCUUUUUUCUUUUUUUUAGAGUUUUCAGUAUAGUGAAUAUUGUAUUUAGCAUAUUUAUGCUUAAUUGCUUGUCAAGCUUAUUUAAGAUCACUGUCUAUAUUAAUAUAAUUUAUUUAACCCUUUUUCCUUCUUGCAGCUCAGCUGUUGGAUGUAAAGAAUGAACAGAAAAUUGUACUUAUCCCCAUUGUGGUAGCUGUAAGUAAUUCAUAUUCUAUUUUCUCACACAUGAACUUAAUUUUUUGAACUUUCUUUUGGUUAGACUUUGGUGUAUUCUGUUGCUAGUGAAGCACAUGGCCAAAUAUAUGAUCUGAAUCAUGAUGAUCCAUCCAUCUAACUAAUAUAUAGGGAGGUGAGAGAGGUUACAUGUGAAACAUACAUGUGUUCUUUGUGGGCCGUGCAGAUUUUUUGAUUGAUAGUAAAUACAGUUGUAAGUGAUGUAAGUAAUGCAUGUUGCAAUCAUCAAGUGCUUUAUCUUCAUGUGGGACCACAACAUAUGCAAAUUUAAAACAUUGGUUGGCCUGAUAUCAAAUGUGUAGGCUGCGAAUUCUAUUCAUUUGUAUUUUCUCAGUCCAAGUUGUUUCAAAACAUGCUUAUCUGAAGAUAUUGAGUCUAGAGCCUGCUCUAAAGUAAUGUGGUUAUGGCAUGGGUCUGCAAAACAACUGCAUGCCACAGAGGGGCCUGGGAAGUGCUUGGCCUGGCAGUUGUCAUGUCAAAGAAGAGAUAAAGGAGGCUAGCUCGCAUAUGAGUUGAUAUGGUUUUCAAAGUAUGGUUUUAUCAUGACAUGAGGGAGAUUGAGAGAGCAGGGUUCGCAAGCAGCUGAAGAUAACUGAUGAGGAUUUGUAAGACGGGUUUUGUUAAGGUGGCUUUGUAGAGACAUCACCGUGCAGAUGAAGCCUCCCGCAUUAGUAUUAUUUGAAUAAGGAUAUUUAUUUUAGGGACUAAUAUAUUAAAUUAGAUGUGCAUCCACAAUAAUUUCCUUUAAGUAUUCUAAUUAUACGGUAUUUGUAUACAUAUGAAUGAAUGUAUAUGAGAAUCAUGGACUAGUACAAUUUCAGUGUUGCCUAACUUAUGGAUUUUAUCUCUGUCCUUUCUGAACAUCCAAUAUAGCAUCAUAUGUGUUUCGAGAUAUUGUGGAACAUGACAUCUCAUGUUAUUCUGUCUCUAAUAAAUAACAUGUGAUGCAAUUUUUUACAGUGUGUGCUGGUACAGAGCUGCUAUUUUAUGUUUUAAACAAAUUUCAGUUUAUCACAUCAAAACAUUUUAAGGAUUGUUUGUUCAUAUGAAUGGUGCAGUUAUGAUUGUUGAUUGGCUUGUUCAUUCCUUCUUAUUAAGGUAAUCUUGAGCAGGUGAUUUCUCCUAUUCCACCAUCAGAUAAGAUUGGUAUAAAAUCUGUUCAAAGGGAGACGGAAGAAAUAAUACCAAUGAAGGCAAUGAAAAUGGCAUGGGUUCCAUACAUUCCCCUAGAAGACCGGUACCUUCUGUUCAUGCUUCAUAUUUACGAUCUUGAAACUUCAAAUAGGAUUAUACAGAAUUCUCUAUGGAAGAUUGUGUUGCUUAAUUUAGCUUUUCUCUUCUUUCACAGGCAUAGUCAGGUUGAUAGAUUGAAGACUCAAAUAUUUACCUUGGCCUGCACCCAAAGAAGGUACAACUACAUGUAUUUUUAGGUUUUCAUUUUUAUAUGGCUUUUGUUGCACAAUAUUUUCCUUUCAUGGUAUAAUUAAAUGAGAUUAUCCCAUGUUUCUGUACCAUGUAAAUUAUGUUUCUGUUUUUUAUAAUCAUUUAAUAUUUAUUUCUUCAAGUGAUGAAUGCCAAAUAACAAAGCAGUAGUCUUUGGUGCUCUUGCUAACCUCCUUGGAUCUAGGCAUCUUGCUAACAAGGGUUCAUGUCAGGAAAUUAAUAUCCAACAUAUUGACGGUUUAAAGCGUUUAAAAGCUAACAUCAACGUAGUUCUUGUAGUGGCCUAUGGAUAACUUUUUGUUAAUAUACAUGCUUCAUUUGUAGUGGCAUAUGGAUUUAUUGACAUACAACCAUAUUACUACUUUUUUAGUACAAAUGUGUCGCUAUUGCUUCUUAUUCUAUGUCAAACAAUUGCAUGCAUGCAUUUAAAUGCACUAACACCCUUGGACUCGAUUUUGUACCUUGUUUGGUGAUACAUAUACCAACAAUAGUGGUUAUUUCAGAAUUAUAUAAGAGAAUAUUGCUCUUUUAUGCUAACUGUAUGAUAAAUUAUAGAUGUCAAAAGUUGUUACCUAUCAACUUGAAUCUUAACUUUUUACUUAAAAAUAUUUUGAUCCAAUUCAGUUCAAGUUCUAAAAAAAAUUGAAACUUCUAUAUUGCUGCAUUAGAAGUAAACUUGUGCAUACAACUAAGAAAUCUGUAAGCAUGCAGGGCUUAUGUGACAUCUCUUAUACAUUUCUGCUUUUAUUUUGAUGGUGCUUUGCUGCAGUUCAGGUUGUCACUACAUAUUACUUGAUGGUUCUAGAUUUUGAUUGAUUGAAUUCUUCCCCUAUAUAGUUUUCUCUUUCCUAUUAUGCAUCAAACUGAAGUAGUUUAUACUUUUAGUUGCACAUGCAUUAUCAGUUUUUCUUGCCUUUUCUUUCAUUCCCUUACAUUCUUUGCCUGUCAGCUAUUCCAUUAAGAUGUUACUUCCCCUGCAUUUGUAGCUGUUUAUCAUAGAUGUACUAUUAUUUAUUACAAAUACUUGCUUGUGUGAUUCAGCUGUUGCAUUGGACAACAAUCCUCUUAAGUAUGCCAGAUCAUGUGUUUUUAUUUUCUUCCUUUGAUAUUGAUGCCUUUAUAAUGGGAUUCUGAAACCUUGUGUCCAUUAUCAGUCAGAUGGAAUUUAGUUACUUGUGGCUCAUCAGUUAGGAGAGCUAUUUAAAAUGUUCAUUUGAAUAUAUGCGUUUCAGUUCUAUGUAUGCCUGAUUGGAUGUGGACAUAUUGAGUGCUUGUGUAGUUAAAAAGUUCUUUGAUUUAUUUUUUUCAUAUUGGUUAUUUUCUUUUAUGUCUUUGGAGUUGUAGCCUGCCUGCAUUUUAUUCAACAUUUUUCUUCUGAGAGCUUAAUGUAUGUAUGAAUUAUGAAAUUAUGGUAUAAUGUUGCACGAGGAAGCAAGGAUGGUUUGAUUGGCAUUAGAAAAAUUUAGAUCUUUGUGAUUCUUGUUACAGCGGGACACUAAAUACCUCAUGUAUCUCUGUUUGAUAUUUUUUCUUUUCUUUUUGUUUUUUAAUGUUAAAAUUUUGCUGGAGGAAACAAACUUUUUUUUGUCACUUCUCUACUGUAGAUGUUUUGAUCUUAUAAAACGAUAUCACAUCUUAAAUUAUGAUUAUAUAAAUUGGAUAUUCUCAUGCAGAUCUGCUUUAAAACAUCUGAAAAUCGAGCGCGUCAAACAAUAUGACUAUUGCCUUCCUUGUGAGUUUUAUUGACCUUUUAUUUUUUUCCUAUUUUGUGCAAAGAGUUGUUGCAGCCCAUUUCAAAUUUAUACAUUGAUUAAUUUAUUUUGCAAUAAUUUUCUUUGCCCCAACAUCUUUUUUAGUAGAUGUAUGUGAUAUGUGAUUGGAGCUUUUGUUCCCUGAUGUUGAAUGCAAGAAAGUUGUGUUGAAUAUAAAAGUAUCCCCACAGUUUUUUUUUCAUGGGUCUUGUUUCAUCAAGAUCAACCAUAAAUGAGUUUUCUGAAACCAUUUCUCAUAGUUAUAUAUCUCACUGUCCAAAAUAUCUGUUUGUCUUUGAGGUGGAAAUUUGCUGGUUGAUGAAAUGUCAUGCAAGGAUCGGACUGCCAUACAUGCAAAGGAGCUGAAUGUUGAAGUUGAUCAUGAAUUUAUAACGUGUUGAAGCAUGUAGGCUAUGAUUUCUUGCUCAAUUAUUCAAUUUAAAUUCUAAUAGAUGGUGGAAAAUUAGAUAAGCCAUAUAUUUGAAAGGAGAAUUUACUAACUAAUACUCUUUAAAUAUCUGAAGACAAACUUAAAAGUAAGGUCAUGUUCAGGUAGCUGUAAUUAAAUAUGAUGCCGAUUUUAAGUGUCGCCUUUUUUUAUGGAAAGGGUUUCCUAUAUACAACUUCAAGACCGUAGUAUAACAUUUUGAGAAUUUAACGAAAAUGGCCAAUGCUAAAUUGAUUAAGAAAAUACAUAUGGCUACAUGUAUACUAGAAUCAUUGAUGAAGUGUAGUGUUAUUUAAGAAUAAUGGAAACAUCUUAAGAAGAUAUCAUUUCAUUGGACUUUAUACAUGCCCAAGAGUUAUAUUUGCGCUUUUUGUUAAGUUGUUGAAAACUGAGCCAAGUGAUUGAGAUUUUUGUUUGUAGAUUGUCUAAUAUUAUAACUAAACCUACAUAUAUCAUAAUGUCAUCUAAGGACAUUGGUCAACGGCAAACAAUUGAAGUUUGAGCCAAUCCUUUGACUGGCUAUGGUGGAACCUGUGAUAACUUAAACCAAGGCUUCAAAAGCGACCUAGUGUUCUGUUAAAAAAUUCUGAAUUGGGCAUUUCAGUUAGUUAUUCUUGGCCAGUCUUGUUUAAGGAAUACAACAUAUAUGCACUAAGAAUCUUCCUUUAAGAACUUCCAGGGCCAUGAAUGACUUCUUUGGAACAGAGCCAGGUAGAGGAUACGGAUAGGAGGGGAGCGAAAUGGGGGUAGAGGUUGGGGUAGGGAUAGAGUGGGGUGAAACAGUAUUAGCUAGGGGCUGGGUGUUAGGGGUAAAAGGUGAGGUAGGUAGACUGGUUAGACAGGCAAGGUUGGGAAUGAGGUCAAGGAGAGAGGGCAAGUGGGUGAGAAGGAUGGAUCAUGAUGGAGGAACUUGGAUGGAGGACCUAGGGUUAGUGCUGGUGAGUCUCUUGCUCUACGCAUCUUACAAUAAGCUGGUUGAUGGUCAACUCAGCAUGACCAUUUUUGAGUUGUCCAAACACAAAAUAACAAUUUGACAUCUAGUUUAAUUUUGAUUUUAUUUGUGACAAGUUAAAUAGGAGUCUGAAGAAUUACAUAAUGACUGGAAGUCUACUUUCCUCUAGUGUCAAAAUACUUUGUAAGAAUCUUUGUCUAAUUAGAUGAAAAUCCAAACUUUUUUCUUUUCUUAUCUUGUGCUUUUAUUGUAAAAUCAAAUGGUUUUCAUACACAAACCUAUAUCACUAUAUAUAUAUAUAUAUAUAUAUAUAUAUAUAUUUUGUAUUCUAGAUCCUGUAUAUUAAUAUCAACUUCAUAGUCGCUAUUAUGCAAUCUAUACACACUCCCAAAUUUCUACUAAUUUGUAGUUAUAGCCUAGAUAUCAAUACCCAAUUCUUAAUCUUGUACCAUUUCAUAUUAAUCAUCCUAUCUGGUCAUUAUGUGUGAUACUUUAUAUUCUAUAUUCUAUUAUUAGCUAUAUAAAAAUAAUGAUACUUUAUUCACACCUAUGUAUAUCAAGAUUUUGUCAUGUUGAGUUUUGUUUGUUCUAGUAAAUUCACUGUCAUAGAUAUAUGUGUUUCUUUGUCUCUCUGCACUCUUUAUAGGCCAUUCAACUAGAGCUUGAAUUGCCUUCAUCAUCUAGGUCUUUGGUAGUGAAUUCUAGUUUUUUUAAUCCCCGAACCAAAGUUAUGACUAUAGCGCUAACUUAUGCUACUUGAAAACUCCAAUUUGCUAUUUUCCUUCUCCCAACUAUCCAUUCUAUGCUAUACUUCUGCAGCCACAUCCUAAAUUUUUCCUAUACAUGUGUGUAUGCAAUAUUUAUUUGUCAAAACAUUAUCCAGCUGUGCGACUUACAUUGCAAUUGUAUCUCCAUAAUGCUCAAAGUCAUGUAACAUUUCAAUAGUGCAUUUUAGUUCUGUCCAUCCUACUCUGGUUGAAAUAGUAAAAGUGUCUUUAAUUUUCUUAUCUUUUUCUUGUUAAUUUAACAUUGUGAUGAAAUUAAGUGUUCUUAGCUUUCUAUACUAUCAAUUUGAACUAUAAUGCUAUCUUGUUGAAUCUUUAUACUGAGGUUUUCGUCUUGAUAUUGGUUUGUAUCAAUAUAGGGCACCCAUGAAUAUGACCCAUGAAUAUGAUAUAUGUAAAAACUGAGGUCUUACUAUGUUGGCUGAUACAAAAUAAUAUAAUUCAAAAUACCAACCUAUGCAAUAUCUUAUAUUAUCUGAUAUUUUCGUAACUCUUACUAUCUUAGCUAAAUAAAUAUCAGAAUCAAAGAGCCCGGAAACAAUUGUCAAUCUUAAUAUUGUGAUAUUGGCCAAUUAGCUUAGUUCCUAUUAUCAGUUAAGAUUUCCAAUACGUCUUUUGCACCCAUAAUCUCCCUGGCUUCCAUCUCAGCAUAGAUAAACCAAGGUCUUGGCUCAUCCUAGUAUUGGUUACAAAGAUGGCCUAUAACCGAUGAUUUGAAAGACCUUGCUUUCAUCACCCUGCCAUAAAAAGAGUUGCUUUCCACCAAAUUUGCGUACUGUAUGUGAGUUGAUUUUUCCAUAUGCUUAUCCUGGACUGUCAUUUCUCUUUAGCUCCGGUCCUGUCUUAGAUUUACCGUGUCAUGUUGGCCCAAUGUGUCAAUGGUUUAUCAUUACAAUUUGUCUGGCUUGCUCCUAGUCUCAUUUCAUGUCCUAACAAGUAGGUCAGGAUUGUUGGUUACUAGGUCCCAAACUUUUUAUCUAGUUGGAGCAAGAAGCCAUGGCCAAAUUAAAAGCUAUUUGACCUGCAUUUGUAGGUUAGAUAAGUUCAAAUGUUUAGAUUUGGUAGAUAGUCAUCAUAUAAAGAGGCUCAUUGUAUGAAAUUAGUCCUAAACCAAUCUUAAUAAACCAUAUUGAUAAUUUUAUGGAGCCAUUGAUGGGGUCAUUAGGUUGUUUGCUGUAAUAAGUAGUAAUUUGCUUUUGUUAACUACAUUCUUUUGAUUGCUUAUGUUAAUUUAGCUUAUGUUGAUUUAAAGCUUGUAAAUUGCCACCUGGGUUGUCAUGCAUACUCACGGUGCUUGCCUUGUUUUCUGACAGCAUUAUCAGGUUUCAUUGUCAUUAUUUAUUCUACAUCUGCAUGCUACAGUGAACAAAUAUUCGGGCUAUUCAUUAGUCCUAAACACAUUUGAAGCCUUGAGUUGCAAUGUUUCUCUUUCUUUAGUCCAUGGUGUUGAAUGGAAAAGAAUCCUAAGAUUUGUUUAGUGAAUUACUUCAAGUGGAGAGCUUGUUGAUCACUGCUUAGUGCUUACUCGUAUUUAAUCUACUUAAGAA
rnacentral:lncRNA from 1 species